AGAGCGAACGCUGGCGGCAUGCUUAACACAUGCAAGUCGCACGGGCACUUCGGUGUCAGUGGCGGACGGGCGAGUAACGCGUAGGUAUCUAUCCUUGGGUGGGGGACAACGGUUGGAAACGACUGCUAAUACCGCCAUAAUAACUGAGGUUUAAAGGCGCAAGUCGCCUGAGGAGGAGCCUGCGUACGAUUAGCUAGUUGGUGGGGUAAAGGCCUACCAAGGCGACGAUCGUUAGCUGGUCUGAGAGGAUGAUCAGCCACAUUGGGACUGAGACACGGCCCAAACUCCUACGGGAGGCAGCAGUGGGGAAUAUUGGACAAUGGGCGAAAGCCUGAUCCAGCAAUGCCGCGUGUGUGAAGAAGGUCUUCGGAUUGUAAAGCACUUUCGACAGGACGAUGAUGACGGUACCUGUAGAAGAAGCCCCCGGCUAACUUCGUGCCAGCAGCCGC
rnacentral:rRNA from 1 species